rnacentral:rRNA from 1 species
GAAGGGUGCAAGCGUUACUCGGGAAUUACUGGGGCGUAAAGCGUGCGUAGGUGGUCGUUUAAGUCUGUUGUGAAAGCCCUGGGGCUCAACCUGGGGAACUGCAGUGGAAACUGGACGACUAGAGUGUGGUAGAGGGUAGCGGAAUUCCUGGUGUAGCAGUGAAAUGCGUAGAGAUCAGGAGGAACAUCCAUGGCGAAGGCAGCUACCUGGACCAACACUGACACUGAGGCACGAAAGCGUGGGGAGCAAACAGGAUUAGAUACCCUGGUAGUCCACGCCCUAAACGAUGCGAACUGGAUGUUGGGUGCAAUUUGGCACGCAGUAUCGAAGCUAACGCGUUAAGUUCGCCGCCUGGGGAGUACGGUCGCAAGACUG